rnacentral:rRNA from 1 species
UGGGGAAUAUUGGACAAUGGGCGAAAGCCUGAUCCAGCCAUGCCGCGUGUGUGAAGAAGGUCUUCGGAUUGUAAAGCACUUUAAGUUGGGAGGAAGGGCAGUAAGCGAAUACCUUGCUGCUUUGACGUUACCGACAGAAUAAGCACCGGCUAACUCUGUGCCAGCAGCCGCGGUAAUACAGAGGGUGCAAGCGUUAAUCGGAAUUACUGGGCGUAAAGCGCGCGUAGGUGGUUCGUUAAGUUGAAUGUGAAAGCCCCGGGCUCAACCUGGGAACUGCAUCCAAAACUGGCGAGCUAGAGUAGGGCAGAGGGGGGUGGAAUUUCCUGUGUAGCGGUGAAAUGCGUAGAUAUAGGAAGGAACACCAGUGGCGAAGGCGACCACCUGGGCUCAUACUGACACUGAGGUGCGAAGGCGUAGGGAGGAAACAGG